rnacentral:rRNA from 1 species
UACGUAGGGACCGAGCGUUGUCCGGAAUCAUUGGGCGUAAAGAGCGUGUAGGCGGCUCGCUAAGUCUUGCGUGAAAUCUCGGGGCUCAACCCCGAGCGGUCGUGAGAAACUGGCGGGCUAGAGUGCGGGAGAGGAGAGUGGAAUUCCCGGUGUAGUGGUGAAAUGCGUAGAGAUCGGGAGGAACACCUGUGGCGAAGGCGGCCCCCUGGGCCGCGCCUGACGCUGAGGCGCGAAGGCUAGGGGAGCGAACGGG